GAUGAACGCUGGCGGCGUGCCUAAUACAUGCAAGUCGAGCGAAUGGAUUAAGAGCUUGCUCUUAUGAAGUUAGCGGCGGACGGGUGAGUAACACGUGGGUAACCUGCCCAUAAGACUGGGAUAACUCCGGGAAACCGGGGCUAAUACCGGAUAACAUUUUGAACCGCAUGGUUCGAAAUUGAAAGGCGGCUUCGGCUGUCACUUAUGGAUGGACCCGCGUCGCAUUAGCUAGUUGGUGGGGUAACGGCUCACCAAGGCAACGAUGCGUAGCCGACCUGGGAGGGUGAACGGCCACGCUGGGACUGAGACACGGCCCAGACUCCUACGGGAGGCAGCAGUAGGGAAUCUUCCGCAAUGGACGAAAGUCUGACGGAGCAACGCCGCGUGAGUGAUGAAGGCUUUCGUGUCGUAAAACUCUGUUGUUAGGGAAGAACAAGUGCUAGUUGAAUAAGCUGGCACCUUGACGGUACCUAACCAGAAAGCCACGGCUAACUACGUGCCAGCCGCCGCGGUAA
rnacentral:rRNA from 1 species